rnacentral:sRNA from 1 species
GAAACGCUUGGCGGGGAAGUGCUGUUGGAGCCGCUGUGGUUGCUGUCCGCGGAGUGGAAGCGCGUGCCUUUGUUUGUGUCCCUGGCCAUGGCGCUGCAGCUCUCCCGGGAGCAGGGAAUCACCCUGCGCGGGAGCGCCGAAAUCGUGGCCGAGUUCUUCUCAUUCGGCAUCAACAGCAUUUUAUAUCAGCGUGGCAUAUAUCCAUCUGAAACCUUUACUCGAGUGCAGAAAUAUGGACUCACCUUGCUUGUAACUACUGAUCUUGAGCUCAUAAAAUACCUAAAUAAUGUGGUGGAACAACUGAAAGGUAUUUAAUCAUUGGAAACAAUUUGAGUGCAGAUUUUCUAGCAAUCUAAGUAGUCAUUCUUCCUCUCUGCACAUAGGAGUGUACUGACAUCUCAAAUAUAUUUUCAAUUGAGAGGAAGAAAAUAAUAUAUAAAAUGGAAGAAAUUCACUCUUCCCCCACUACGUUGUGAGUGGGCUGAAUAUUUUGAUGUUAGAAAUCUGAUAUGGCUAAAAA